ensembl:lncRNA
CGAGGCUAAGCUAGUGGGGGCAAAGUUUCAGUGCAUUCCGUUGAUGUUGGCGUGAAAACGGAAACAAGUAUGCCGGCUCACUGUGCUGCAUACAAUUACACACUGCAUCGUACGAUUGAGACAAGGAAACUUGGAAUGACUUUUCAUAGGUUUCCCAGAGACUAUGGGUUGAGGAGGAAUUGGAAGUUUGUCGGCUUAGACCUGGUGUCAUUCCAUCAGUGUUAAACUUCCCGGCUCAUCUUGGAAGAGUACGUGCCAGAAAGACCACGACCAAGCAGCCUUGAGAUCUUAGGCAGCGUCUCCCUGAGGUCCCUCUCUAUCUCCCCACACAUCCACCAACCACUGGAACACAUCUCCAAAGUUCUGCCGGGCCAGCUCAGCUUCCCCUCAGAAGAAGUGCCGCCACCUGCCAGAUGAAGGAGCCUGUUGAGAGGCAGCUGGCAUCGUGAUUGGACUGUACUUUGGUCUGUUUCAAUCCAGCUUCAGCUCCAGAGACGGCAGGCGGGACGAGUCAACGGAGGCCGGGUGGACGAAGGCAUGCAGCUGAGUACAAUCCAGAAAACGACAGAGGAGGAGUGCAGCGGCCCAGAGCCAGAACAAGCAGAGUAGCAUCGUAUGUCUCUUAGAAAACAUCAUAGUAUAGCCUUUGGUAUGAAAAAACGCCAUCAUAUACAUCGUAUAUUGUACAAAUAACAAGUCAAAGGACAGAGACAUACAUUGUAGAAUUGUAGUAAUUGUGGGCUGACUGAUUUACUGAUUAUCAGUAUUUUAUUUUUUAUUGAUUUACGGUAAUAAAUACAUUUAAAAAUGGUGCUACUUUGGCUCUGAACCUUUAUCUACCUGUGG